AUUAGCUAGUGUGAGUUAACGGUCACCACUCAAGUGCAAGCGACUGAAGUGAUCGGUCACAUGGACUGAGACCGCCACUCUACGGAGCAGCAGUAGAUCUCGCCAUGACGGAAGUCGACGAGCACGCGCGGGAGGAGAGUUUCGGAUCGUAAACUCGUGUAGAGAAGACAGAUGAGAGUACUGUCAUUCCUGACGUAUCUACCAGAAAGCCACGGCUACUACGUGCCAGCAGCGCGGUAAUACGUAGGUGGCAAGCGUGUCCGGAUUUAUGGGCGUAAAGCGAGCGCAGGCCGGUUCUUAAGUCUGAUGUGAAAGCCCCCGGCUCAACCGGGGAGGGUCAUUGGAAACUGGGAGACUGGAGUGCAGAAGAGGAGAGUGGAAUUCCAUGUGUAGCGGUGAAAUGCGUAGAUAUAUGGAGGAACACCAGUGGCGAAGGCGGCUCUCUGUUCUGUAACUGACGCUGAGGCUCGAAAGCGUGGGGAGCAAACAGGAUUAGAUACCCUGGUAGUCCACGCCGUAAACGAUGAGUGUUAAGUGUUGGAGGGUUUCCGCCCUUCAGUGCUGCAGCUAACGCAUUAAGCAUUCCGCCUGGGGAGUACGACCGCAAGGUUGAAAUUCAAAGGAAUUGACGGGGGCCCGCCCAAGCGGUGGAGCAUGUGGUUUAAUUGGAAGCAACGGGAAGACCCUUACCAGGUCUUGACAUCCUUUGACCACUCUAGAGAUAGAGCUUCCCCUUCGGGGGCAAAGUGACAGGUGGUGCAUGGUUGUCGUCAGCUCGUGUCGUGAGAUGUUGGGUUAAGUCCCGCAACGAGCGCAACCCUUAUUGUUAGUUGCCAUCAUUCAGUUGGCCAUUUUAGCAAGACUGCCGGUGACAAACCGGAGGAAGGUGGGGAGGACGUCAAAUCAUCAUGCCCCUUAUGACCUGGGUUCCACACGUGUUCCAAUGGGAAGUACAACGAGUUGGGAAGUCGGGAGGUUAAGUUAAUUUCUUAAAGCUUUUUUCAGUUCGGAUUCCAGGCUGCAAUUCGCCUGCAGGAAGCCGGAAUCGUUAGUAAUCGCGGAUCACCACGCCGCGGUGAAUACGUUCCCGGCCCUUGUACACACCGCCCGUCACACCACGAGAGUUUGUAACACCGGAAGUCGGUGAGGUAACCUUUUGGAGCCAGCCGCC
rnacentral:rRNA from 1 species